ACUCAAAGGAAUUGACGGGGGCCCGCACAAGCGGCGGAGCAUGUUGCUUAAUUCGAGGCAACGCGAAGAACCUUACCUGGGCUUGACAUGCAGGGAAAAGCCGUAGAGAUACGGUGUCCUUCGGGGCCCUGCACAGGUGGUGCAUGGCUGUCGUCAGCUCGUGUCGUGAGAUGUUGGGUUAAGUCCCGCAACGAGCGCAACCCUUGUCCUAUGUUGCCAGCGGUUCGGCCGGGGACUCGUAGGAGACUGCCGGGGUCAACUCGGAGGAAGGUGGGGAUGACGUCAAGUCAUCAUGCCCCUUAUGUCCAGGGCUGCAAACAUGCUACAAUGGCCAGUACAAAGGGCUGCCAUCCCGUGAGGGUGAGCGAAUCCCAAAAAGCUGGUCUCAGUUCGGAUUGAAGUCUGCAACUCGACUUCAUGAAGCCGGAGUCGCUAGUAAUCCCGGAUCAGCAACGCCGGGGUGAAUACGUUCCCGGGCCUUGCACACACCGCCCGU
rnacentral:rRNA from 1 species